GAUGAACGCUGGCGGCAUGCUUUACACAUGCAAGUCGAACGGUAACAGGGUGCUUGCACCGCUGACGAGUGGCGAACGGGUGAGUAAUGCGUCGGAACGUGCCGAGUAGUGGGGGAUAACGCAGCGAAAGUUGUGCUAAUACCGCAUACGUACUGAGGUAGAAAGUGGGGGACCUUCGGGCCUCACGCUAUUCGAGCGGCCGACGUCUGAUUAGCUAGUAGGUGAGGUAAAGGCUCACCUAGGCGACGAUCAGUAGCGGGUCUGAGAGGAUGAUCCGCCACACUGGGACUGAGACACGGCCCAGACUCCUACGGGAGGCAGCAGUGGGGAAUUUUGGACAAUGGGCGAAAGCCUGAUCCAGCCAUGCCGCGUGUCUGAAGAAGGCCUUCGGGUUGUAAAGGACUUUUGUCAGGGAGGAAAUCCCUAGUGCUAAUAACACUGGGGGAUGACAGUACCUGAAGAAUAAGCACCGGCUAACUACGUGCCAGCAGCCGCGGUAA
rnacentral:rRNA from 1 species